rnacentral:rRNA from 1 species
UACGUAGGGUGCAAGCGUUGUCCGGAAUUAUUGGGCGUAAAGAGCUCGUAGGCGGCUCGUCGCGUCGACCGUGAAAACCCGCAGCUCAACUGUGGGCUUGCAGCUGAUACGGGCGGGCUAGAAUUCGGUAGGGGAGACUGGAAUUCCUGGUGUAGCGGUGAAAUGCGCAGAUAUCAGGAGGAACACCGAUGGCGAAGGCAGGUCUCUGGGCCGCAACUGACGCUGAGGAGCGAAAGCGUGGGGAGCGAACAGG